AUUGAUCGCUGGCGGCAGGCUUAACACAUGCAAGUCGAGCGGGGUGAUGGUGCUUGCACUAUCACUUAGCGGCGGACGGGUGAGUAAUGCUUAGGAAUCUGCCUAUUAGUGGGGGACAACAUCUCGAAAGGGAUGCUAAUACCGCAUACGUCCUACGGGAGAAAGCAGGGGAUCACUUGUGACCUUGCGCUAAUAGAUGAGCCUAAGUCGGAUUAGCUAGUUGGUGGGGUAAAGGCCUACCAAGGCGACGAUCUGUAGCGGGUCUGAGAGGAUGAUCCGCCACACUGGGACUGGAACACGGCCCAGACUCCUACGGGAGGCAGCAGUGGGGAAUAUUGGACAAUGGGGGGAACCCUGAUCCAGCCAUGCCGCGUGUGUGAAGAAGGCCUUAUGGUUGUAAAGCACUUUAAGCGAGGAGGAGGCUCUUUUGGUUAAUACCCAAGAUGAGUGGACGUUACUCGCAGAAUAAGCACCGGCUAACUCUGUGCCAGCAGCCGCCGUAA
rnacentral:rRNA from 1 species